ACAGACCAAGAGGACAGCUUCAAUGAAGCCAUCCCAGCCGAUGCAGGUGAUUACCCGUGGGCUGACAUCUCCUCGCGCACCUAGCACCAGCCAAACCGCCUCAAUCUGAACAUGCACCAGACAAAGUCGAUGAAAAGACGCCAGGGAGCCUCAGCAGCCGAGAAGAAAGCGCGGCAACACCCACCGCGCGAGAAGAAACGCGAAAACAGAGACGGACCGCGGUACAGACUGUGAAUCCACAGGAUUCACACACAGUGCACCGUGUUUUAAUGAGCACUCUUAGUUUAUUUAUUUAUAUAUAUAUAUAUAUAUAUAUAUAAUUCCUUUAGUUUUAGUUUGUCGGUUAUGAACAGUGAUGCAGCACCAGAAUACAGUUCUUUUAGUUUGUUAGCGAAUCUGGAAAAGAAUAAAGUCAUCUGUCAAGCUCUGUUCACUUUGGUCCGACAUGCCUCACCUCUCCCCACCUGAGCUCUCUCUCUUUCCCUCCUCCGCUCUAGGGAACCGCCACCUCCGCCGCCACCUCAACCAAUAAGGCUUCAAAUCUCCACCAGAGAGAGAAAUUCGAUUUUAAUAACUAAAUUAAAAAGAUAUAUAAUCGGAUCCGAUGAAAUCGCUGCUCGUGAACGCAACUUGAAGAAAGGCGCAAUCAGCCGAUUCUACUAUGGGUGGAGCAUUUAGUAUGGUCAGGGUUAUUGUGUUGUCUAUUCAAAGAAAGAUGUGCCUGUAAAUUUGUUAAGUUGAUUCUUAUCAGUCUGCUCUUUAGGGUUGAUGAUAGCAUGAAAUAUUCAUUGUUAAUGCUCGUCGUUUUCUUCUUCUUUUUCCUAGACUAAAACAUCCUAGACAUCUUCUAUUUUUGCUGUGGUAUUUUCCUCUUUCUAUUUACACUAUUUGCUCCCUACAAUAUUUAUUCUUUCAGAGAAGUAAAUGUAUACAUAUAUAACAAGAAUAGGAGGGGAGGGGGAGGGGGGUUUGACAGUAAGUAUUUGCUUAGAAGGGAAUGCUUCUUUGGUUUUAGAAGCACCAUGAAGAUUCAGGCCCAAAUCUUUGCUUAGAAUGCCGAAUACCCAGGAUCCUAGCACCAUAUUUGGCUGUGUAUAUUUGUUAUGCAUCCAUAUUUGGCUGAAGCAAACUUGAGGGAACAUAAAGUGCUGGGAAGUAAUUUUUGUUGGAAUUUAUUGUGUCAUCUCUUCUUUUGAUGAUGACCUCUUGGAUGGCUGCAUGAAGCUUGUUCCGCUUUUAAUUUCAAGGUUAAUCUAUUGCUAUGAGCAUACGUGUUUCAUUUUAAAACUCGAGUUGCAACUGAACUUAAAUGAAUGGUGUUGGAUUUGGGCCUUCUAUUUGUUUUAACUUCUACAGGGUUGAAAUGAUAGUGAUCUUAAAGUUGAAAAGCAGCAGACAAAAAUCAAUUUGCCACAAUGGUGCAUGGUUUCCUAGAUUCUUAGCAUAGAGUUGAAUGUUUUGUUGACCUCUCUACAUCCAAAAUCAUAUAGACAGCUACUGCUGGCACUUGCAUUGGUCAAUGAAUACUGUAGAGUAUAUAUUGCAGUGUGAGAUAAGGUUAACUCGUUGCAUUUUCAUAUAUUGAAAGGAUUUCUCUUCUUUUCUUUGUCAAUUACAGCACAUGCAUAGAAGUUACUCAGAGUAAAUGCUAUUAUAAUGUUUUCACAGAGACUCCCCUGCUUUGCAACUAAGUCACUAAUAUAUGAAGCUCAUAGCUAGUAUCAUUAUCUGCGUAAAAUGCGUAAAAUAUCUCUGGAGAUGCUUUCAAUGGAGAUCAGGUCUCAAAACGCUAUGCCCACUGCCCCCAUGGAUCCAGUAGGUUAUAAUGCAGCCGAGCAUUGAAUUUCUAAACAUCUAACCUUUUGUUUUUCUUCUUGCAUUGUUAUCAAACUCUUUUACAUUUUAUUGCUGCAUAUUGCUAUGUAUAUCACCUUGCUGGAAAAAUCUCAUGAUCACCUCCACGAUGCAUGGCUAUUUUAUAUUUUAUGAUUGAGAUGGUAGAUUUUAAAGAUUUUCCUGUUUAGGAGGACAGGUAAGACGUCACUUUCUUGCUUUUCUUUCGAGAGAAAGUAUUUGAUCCUUCUUUCAUAUAUAAUAAUAAUGCCGAGCAUUGAAUUUCUAAACAUCUUACCUUUUGUUUUGUUUGUCGCAUUGUUAUCAAACUCUUUUGCAUUUUAUUGCAGUAUAUUGCUAUGUGUAUGGCAUGCUUUGAUCAAAAAGUUGAGUAAUUGAUGAAUGUUAGGCAAGAAUAUUACAUAUUGUUUUUGUUUUUUGCCUCCUUUUCUUUCCCCCACCAUGAAAAUUGUCAUAUUAUUUUUGUUUUCAGCCGCUUCUUCUUCCCCCAUCCCCGAAAAUUGUCAGAGGACACUUUUAUGCUUUGAAUCAAAUCCAUCCCAAUUCUUUCGCUCGUAACUUUAUGUGUGAACUGCCGAUGUUUCAUUUGUCUUCCUUGUUGAGUGCCUUCUUUUUUUCUGUGACAUGGUUUUCCCUUUUGCCUUUUAUCUUGAACAGCAUCCCAUAGUAUGCCCCCUGAAGUUUAGAAUCAAGGGCUGUUUCUCCCUAUCCUAUUGUCCACUGAUCAGUCUCAAGCACGUCAGCAGUUGGUAUCACAGAACAUGCAGAAUUGCAUGGCAUCUAAUGGAGUUCAAAGUUAUGCUGGUUAACAAGCAGCACUGCCUCCUGUCUCUAGUGUAACCCAGACUAUCCCCAACACUGUUGUCCAGAAUCCUAACAUGCAGAGUAUCCCUGGUGUUUCACAGAACUCAGUGGGGAAUUCAAUGGGACAAGGGAUUCCUUCCACUAUGUUUGCCAAUUCUCAGAGACAAAUGCCAGCAUCCCUAGAUUCUACAGCACAGACUGGACAUGCAAAAGGCGCUGAUUGGCAAGAGGAGAUCUAUCAGAAAGAAACCAAUAUUUUGCUGAGCAAUUCUAUAAUGAAAAGUUGGUGACUGAUGUUUUAAAAACUGGAGUUAAGGAAUGGCUUAGAGUGCAUGGAGAUCAUGUUAAAAGUGAAGCUGUAGAGAAGGCAAUCACUCAAAUUAUGAUGGGUGAAGAAGCAGAGGAAAUGAGGAGUAGAGCAAAGCUAGGAGAAACAGCCAGGAAGGCUGUUGAAGAAGGUUGAUCUUCUUGCUCCGAUUUCAAUGCUUUGAUUGAAUAACUGAGGUAACUGUUGAAGAUGGUCGCCCUUGAAACAAAGGUAGAUGUAAGCGUUAUCACACAUGCAUAGAAUAUUUUGUUUCUAGUUAGUAGUGGUUUUGGCAAUUUAUUUUCAGUUGAGAGUUGAAAGAGUAAUCACAACCGAUUCAAUGACCAAUCCAAAUCAGUUCCCUUCCUAAUGGUUCUGGAAUGACAAGUCGUGGCUGUUACAUAUUUAGCCCAAAUAACUAAUCAAAUAGAAAGGCUGAGCUUAGAGACAGUACACUACAAAUGAAGCACCCAAUAGCUAGACAUACAAUCAUAGCAAAUUCAUGUUCUGAAGUUGGAGAACUUGCAAAAACUAGCCACCACAAAAUAGUAGUAAGUAUCUAUGCAGUCUUCGAUGAAGAACAACCACCUGCGUCGCCAAAAUGGAUUGAUGUAGAGAACUGCUGCAAUUGUCAUCACCACAACUGUGUAACAUACACCGAAACUGAUGUAGAAAAACUCCAUGUCUAUGAAACCAUCAUCUCCUUGUUCA